UACGUAGGGUGCAAGCGUUGUCCGGAAUUAUUGGGCGUAAAGGGCUCGUAGGCGGUCCAUCGCGUCGGGAGUGAAAAGCUGGGGCUUAACCCCAGUCCUGCUUCCGAUACGGGUGGACUAGAGGUAGGUAGGGGAGAUCGGAAUUCCUGGUGUAGCGGUGAAAUGCGCAGAUAUCAGGAGGAAUACCGAUGGCGAAGGCAGGUCUCUGGGCUGACACUGACGCUCAUGCACGAAAGCGCGGGGAGCAAACAGG
rnacentral:rRNA from 1 species